UAUUAUAAGCAAAGCCGGGUACAAGAGCGAUCGCUUCGGCGCAACUCUUGUCAUGGUCGCGCGAAUAUUCACCCAUGUUUUUGCGUACUUCUUGUUUCCUUGGUGGGCUCGCCCACCGUAGGACAACCAUUAAACCUUUUGCAAUUGCAGUCAGCGUCAGUAAAAUGUAAUCGUUACAACUUUCAACAACGGAUCUCUUGGUUCU
rnacentral:misc_RNA from 1 species